UACGUAGGCAGCAAGCGUUGUUCGGAGUUACUGGGCGUAAAGGGCUCGUAGGUGGCCAACUAAGUCAGACGUGAAAUCCCUCGGCUUAACCGGGGAACUGCGUCUGAUACUGGAUGGCUUGAGUUUGGGAGAGGGAUGCGGAAUUCCAGGUGUAGCGGUGAAAUGCGUAGAUAUCUGGAGGAACACCGGUGGCGAAGGCGGCAUCCUGGACCAACACUGACACUGAGGAGCGAAAGCCAGGGGAGCAAACGGG
rnacentral:rRNA from 1 species